rnacentral:rRNA from 1 species
UACGGGGGGGGGCAAGCGUUGUUCGGAAUUACUGGGCGUAAAGGGCUCGUAGGCGGCCAACUAAGUCAGACGUGAAAUCCCUCGGCUUAACUGGGGAACUGCGUCUGAUACUGGAUGGCUUGGAUCCGGGAGAGGGAUGCGGAAUUCCAGGUGUAGCGGUGAAAUGCGUAGAUAUCUGGAGGAACACCGGUGGCGAAGGCGGCAUCCUGGACCGGUAUUGACGCUGAGGAGCGAAAGCCAGGGGAGCAAAGCGGG